UUAAUACUUUUAAAUGUGGUGUCAUUAGUUAAUACUUAAUCAAUAGACUCAAGAUAAACUAUAUAUAUAAAUGGUUGGUGUCCAAACUUGUCUAACAAUUUGUGUAACUGCCACCUACUAAUGCUUCAUAAAUUACUGUAAGUAUAUUUUUGAUUUAAUUGCUAACUGCUACUCCCUCCGUCCCUAUUUAGUUGUCCAUAUUUCCUUUUUUAGUUGUCCCUAUUUAGUUGUCCAUUUUGACAAAUCAAGAAAGGACAACAAUUUUUUUCCUAUUAUACCCUUAUUUACACUUCUUGAAAAUUUCUAAAAGUGUAUGUUGUUUCCCUCCAAUUUAUUUCACUUGAAUUCAAAGAAGUGGUUGUAAUUUUGAAGUGAAAAUUGUCAUAAGGGUAAAAUUGUAACUUUACUGUGCUAAUUAUUGUUGCCUUAAUCUGUGUGCCAUUUCUAAAGUGGACAACUAAAAAGGGACGGAGGGAGUACUACAUAUAUGGUGUAUGACAUAAGUUUCCUGGCAUGUAAUAACUUUCUGUUUCUUCACCACAUUAAGAUUUCAGUGUCUUUAUAUCUAUCAUUUUCUCUGACAAAGUGUGCUUAGUUUUCAACAAGAACUAAUUAUUAGACUUCAUGUUCUUUUUUUGAGGUAUCAUUUUGUGGGUUGCAGCAAAUAUUACUAUUUCCCGUUUCAAAUUUUGGUGCCCUUUUUAAAUGUGAUCACAUUAUAUAUAUCAUUUCUGAGAACAUAAUUAUUAUGCUGAUAAUUUACAGGUUAGCUUUG
rnacentral:lncRNA from 1 species